rnacentral:rRNA from 1 species
AUCCUGGCUCAGAUUGAACGCUGGCGGCAUGCCUUACACAUGCAAGUCGAACGGCAGCACGGACUUCGGGUCUGGUGGCGAGUGGCGAACGGGUGAGUAAUGCAUCGGAACGUGCCAUUGAGUGGGGAUAACGUAGCGAAAGUUGCGCUAAUACCGCAUAUUCUGUGAGCAGGAAAGCAGGGGACCGCAAGGCCUUGCGCUCUUUGAGCGGCCGAUGUCAGAUUAGCUAGUUGGUGAGGUAAAGGCUUACCGAGGCGACGAUCUGUAGCGGGGUCUGAGAGGAUGAUCCGCCACACUGGAACUGAGACACGGUCCAGACUCCUACGGGAGGCAGCAGUGGGGAAUUUUGGACAAUGGGGGCAACCCUGAUCCAGCCAUGCCGCGUGAGUGAAGAAGGCCUUCGGGUUGUAAAGCUCUUUCGGCCGGGAAGAAAUCGCAUGGGCCAAUACCCUGUGUGGAUGACGGUACCGGAAUAAGAAGCACCGGCUAACUACGUG